ACCCAUGUGACGUUACCAAACUGUUGCCUCGGCGGGAUCUCUGCCCCGGGCGCGUCGCAGCCCCGGACCAAGGCGCCCGCCGGAGGACCAACCAAAACUCUUAUUGUAUACCCCCUCGCGGGUUUUUUACUAUCUGAGCCAUCUCGGCGCCCCUCGUGGGCGUUUCGAAAAUGAAUCAAAACUUUCAACAACGGAUCUCUUGGUUCUGGCAUCGAUGAAGAACGCAGCGAAAUGCGAUAAGUAAUGUGAAUUGCAGAAUUCAGUGAAUCAUCGAAUCUUUGAACGCACAUUGCGCCCGCCAGUAUUCUGGCGGGCAUGCCUGUCCGAGCGUCAUUUCAACCCUCGAACCCCUCCGGGGGGUCGGCGUUGGGGAUCGGCCCUUUACGGGGCCGGCCCCGAAAUACAGUGGCGGUCUCGCCGCAGCCUCUCCUGCGCAGUAGUUUGCACACUCGCAUCGGGAGCGCGGCGCGUCCACAGCCGUUAAACACCCCAAACUUCUGAAAUGUUGACCUCGGAUCAGGUAGGAAUACCCGCUGAACUUAAGCAUAUCAAUAAGCGGAGGAA
rnacentral:rRNA from 1 species